rnacentral:lncRNA from 1 species
UGAUCAUAGCUCGCUGCAGCCUUGAACUCCUGGUCUCAAGCUGAGGCAGGAGAAUCGCUUGUACCCAGGAGGUGGAGGUUGCAGUGAGCCAAGAUAGCGCCAUUGCACACAACAAAAGCAAAACUGCAUCUCAAAAAAAAACAUUUAACAUGACACACAGUAAGCACUCAAAUAUUAGCUAUAAAUAGAGAUUGGAAGAAUAAGUUAGUGCUGAUUUUGGAAGCUACAUAUUAAUCAAGGGGUUUGGACUUUAUUCUAAAGUUUGAGCUAUUUAAUGCCUUAAGCAUGAGAGUGACUUACAUCACAUCUGUUUACCAGUGUACCGGCAAGGUAGGGAAAAU